GGCGGUCCUCGGUAGUGGCCGCCGGAACCCGACGCACGCGGGGUCGUUGAGAGCCGCGUGAGUGCCGUUCCGGCCGCUUCGAUCGAAGACCGAG
rfam:Dietzia cinnamea P4 contig00434, whole genome shotgun sequence.